rnacentral:rRNA from 1 species
UACGGAGGAUCCGAGCGUUAUCCGGAUUUAUUGGGUUUAAAGGGUGCGCAGGCGGAAGAUUAAGUCAGCGGUGAAAUUUUGCAGCUUAACUGUAACAGUGCCGUUGAUACUGGGGAGCUAGGAUUUGGUUGCUGUGGGUGGAAUGUGUGGUGUAGCGGUGAAAUGCUUAGAGAUCACACAGAAUAUCGAUUGCGAAGGCAGCUCACAAAGCCAAGAUUGACGCUGAGGCACGAAAGUGUGGGGAGUCAAACAGGA